rnacentral:tRNA from 1 species
GGUAAGAUGACUGAGAUGUCAGGUGGUGGAUUGUAAAUCCAUGUACGGGGAUUCAAACCCCCUCUUGCCAA